rnacentral:rRNA from 1 species
GACGAACGCUGGCGGCGUGCUUAACACAUGCAAGUCGAACGGAAAGGCCCUGCUUUUGUGGGUGCUCGAGUGGCGAACGGGUGAGUAACACGUGAGUAACCUGCCCUUGACUUUGGGAUAACUUCAGGAAACUGGGGCUAAUACCGGAUAGGAGCUCCUGCUGCAUGGUGGGGGUUGGAAAGUUUCGGCGGUUGGGGAUGGACUCGCGGCUUAUCAGCUUGUUGGUGGGGUAGUGGCUUACCAAGGCUUAGACGGGUAGCCGGCCUGAGAGGGUGACCGGCCACAUUGGGACUGAGAUACGGCCCAGACUCCAACGGGAGGCAGCAGUGGAGAAUAUUGCACAAUGGGCGGAAGCCUGAUGCAGCAACGCCGCGUGCGGGAUGACGGCCUUCGGGUUGGAAACCGAUUUCGCCUGUGACGAAGCGUGAGUGACGGUAAUGGGUAAAGAAGCACCGGCUAACUACGUG